rnacentral:tRNA from 1 species
GCUUUUAUAGUUUAUUAAAAACAAUGGUCUUGUAAAUCAUAAAUGAGUAACUUAUUCUAAAAGCA